CUGAGUACGGCGGAACACGUGAAAUUCCGUCGGAAUCCGGGAGGACCAUCUCCCAAGGCUAAAUACUCCCUAGUGACCGAUAGUGAACCAGUACCGUGAGGGAAAGGUGAAAAGCACCCCGGAAGGGGAGUGAAACAGUUCCUGAAACCGUGUGCCUACAAGUAGUUAGAGCCCGUUAAUGGGUGAUAGCGUGCCUUUUGUAGAAUGAACCGGCGAGUUACGAUUUGUUGCAAGGUUAAGCGGAAAAAGCGGAGCCGUAGCGAAAGCGAGUCUGAAUAGGGCGCAUAAGUAACAGGUCGUAGACCCGAAACCAGGUGAUCUACCCAUGUCCAGGAUGAAGGUAAGGUAAUACUUACUGGAGGUCCGAACCCACGCACGUUGAAAAGUGCGGGGAUGAGGUGUGGGUAGCGGAGAAAUUCCAAUCGAACUUGGAGAUAGCUGGUUCUCUCCGAAAUAGCUUUAGGGCUAGCCUCGAGGUAAAGAGUCAUGGAGGUAGAGCACUGUUUGGACUAGGGGCCCUUCUCGGGUUACCGAAUUCAGAUAAACUCCGAAUGCCAUGUACUUAUACUCGGGAGUCAGACUGCGAGUGAUAAGAUCCGUAGUCGAAAGGGAAACAGCCCAGACCACCAGUUAAGGUCCCCAAAUAUAUGUUAAGUGGAAAAGGAUGUGGGGUUGCUUAGACAACCAGGAUGUUGGCUUAGAAGCAGCCACCAUUGAAAGAGUGCGUAAUAGCUCACUGGUCGAGUGACCCCGCGCCGAAAAUGUACCGGGGCUAAACAUAUUACCGAAACUGUGGAUGAACCUCUAAAGAGGUUCAUGGUAGGAGAGCGUUCUAAGGGCGGUGAAGUCAGACCGGAAGGACUGGUGGAGCGCUUAGAAGUGAGAAUGCCGGUAUGAGUAGCGAAAGAAGGGUGAGAAUCCCUUCCACCGAAUAUCUAAGGUUUCCUGAGGAAGGCUCGUCCGCUCAGGGUUAGUCGGGACCUAAGCCGAGGCCGAUAGGCGUAGGCGAUGGACAACAGGUAGAGAUUCCUGUACCAGUGCUAAUUGUUUAACC
rnacentral:rRNA from 1 species